GAUGAACGCUGGCGGCGUGCUUAACACAUGCAAGUCGAACGAUGAAGCCCAGCUUGCUGGGUGGAUUAGUGGCGAACGGGUGAGUAACACGUGAGUAACCUGCCCUUAACUCUGGGAUAAGCCUGGGAAACUGGGUCUAAUACCGGAUAGGAGCGUCCACCGCAUGGUGGGUGUUGGAAAGAUUUAUCGGUUUUAGAUGGACUCGCGGCCUAUCAACUUGUUGGUGAGGUAAUGGCUCACCAAGGCGACGACGGGUAGCCGGCCUGAGAGGGUGACCGGCCACACUGGGACUGAGACACGGCCCAGACUCCUACGGGAGGCAGCAGUGGGGAAUAUUGCACAAUGGGCGAAAGCCUGAUGCAGCGACGCCGCGUGAGGGAUGACGGCCUUCGGGUUGUAAACCUCUUUCAGUAGGGAAGAAGCGAAAGUGACGGUACCUGCAGAAGAAGCACCGGCUAACUACGUGCCAGCCGCCGCAGUAA
rnacentral:rRNA from 1 species